AUGCGAUAAGUAAUGUGAAUUGCAGAAUUCAGUGAAUCAUCGAAUCUUUGAACGCACAUUGCGCCCGCCAGUAUUCUGGCGGGCAUGCCUGUUCGAGCGUCAUUUCAACCCUCAGGGCCCCCUUCUGGCGGGACCUGGCGUUGGGGAUCGGCUCGCCCGUAGCGGCUGCCGGCCCUGAAAUACAGUGGCGGUCUCAUCGCGACCUCCCCUGCGUAGUAGUGAUACCUCGCAGCCGGAUAGCGGUGCGGCCACGCCGUAAAACACCCCACUCCUCAAGGUUGACCUCGGAUCAGGUAGGAAUACCCGCUGAACUUAA
rnacentral:misc_RNA from 1 species